UGCAAGUCGAACGGAAGUUAGAGCUUCGGUUUUAACUUUAGUGGCGAACGGGUGAGUAACGCGUGAGGAACCUGCCUUUCAGUGGGGGACAACAGUUGGAAACGACUGCUAAUACCGCAUGAUGCUUUUGGGAGACAUCUCCUGGAAGCCAAAGCUUUAUGUGCUGAAAGAUGGCCUCGCGUCUGAUUAGCUAGUUGGUGAGGUAACGGCUCACCAAGGCGACGAUCAGUAGCCGGUCUGAGAGGAUGAACGGCCACAUUGGGACUGAGAUACGGCCCAGACUCCUACGGGAGGCAGCAGUGGGGAAUAUUGGGCAAUGGGGGAAACCCUGACCCAGCAACGCCGCGUGAAGGAAGAAGGCCUUCGGGUUGUAAACUUCUUUUACCAGGGACGAAGGACGUGACGGUACCUGGAGAAAAAGCAACGGCUAACUACGUGCCAGCAGCCGCGGUAAUACGUAGGUUGCAAGCGUUGUCCGGAUUUACUGGGUGUAAAGGGCGUGUAGGCGGAGAUGCAAGUUGGGAGUGAAAUCCAUGGGCUCAACCCAUGAACUGCUCUCAAAACUGUAUCCCUUGAGUAUCGGAGAGGCAAGCGGAAUUCCUAGUGUAGCGGUGAAAUGCGUAGAUAUUAGGAGGAACACCAGUGGCGAAGGCGGCUUGCUGGACGACAACUGACGCUGAGGCGCGAAAGCGUGGGGAGCAAACAGGAUUAGAUACCC
rnacentral:rRNA from 1 species